rnacentral:piRNA from 1 species
UGCGAUUACUGAGUACAGUGGGCCUU